UAACCAAUCACGCCUGGCGUGGUCUUGGGGUUCGCGUCCAGCGGCCCUUAAAAUCAGUGGCGGUGUCCGUUGGGCUCUAAGCGUAGUAAUUAUUCUCGCUUCUGGGCUCUGCGGGUACCUGCCAUAACCCCAACUUUCUCA
rnacentral:misc_RNA from 1 species